rnacentral:rRNA from 1 species
ACUAUCCUACGGGACGCAGCAGUGGGGAAUAUUGGGCAAUGGGCGCAAGCCUGACCCAGCAACGCCGCGUGAAGGAAAAAGGCUUUCGGGUUGUAAACUUCUUUUAUGAGGGACGAAACAAAUGACGGUACCUCAUGGAUAAGCCACGGCUAACUACGUGCCAGCAGCCGCGGUAAUACGUAGGUGGCAAGCGUUAUCCGGAUUUACUGGGUGUAAAGGGCGUGUAGGCGGGACUGCAAGUCAGAUGUGAAAAUUAUGGGCUCAACCCAUAACCUGCAUUUGAAACUGUCGUUCUUGAGUGAUGG